AACUCUAGUUAUUUGUGAAGUGGUAAAGGCAAAGGAGGGAGCUUGGCGAAGGGAUAGGGUUGAGAGGUGAGAGGAGGACCGACUCGUAGAAGUGGUAAAGGCAAAGGAGGGAGCUUGUCGAAGGGAUAGGGUUGAGAGGUGAGAGCAGGACCGACUCGUAGCCAUGGCGGCAGCCAAGCGGAGCGAAACGGCGAUGCUUGUCAUCGAUAUGCAGAACGAUUUUGUAUUGCCGGAGAUGGAAAGUCCGAUGCUGGUGGCCGGGGGCGAAGCUAUCGUCCCAUCCGUCGUCAAGGCCAUUUCGGUGGCCCGAGAGCGUGGCAUUUUCGUUAUUUGGGUUGUUCGAGAACAUGACCCCAUGGGUAGAGAUGUUGAGCUCUUCCGCAGGCACUUGUAUUCCAAUGGUGAAGGACCUACCGCGAAGGGUGCCAAAGGUGCAGCACUGGUUGAUGGACUUGCAAUCAAGGAAGGAGAGUAUAAGUUGGUGAAGACUCGCUUUAGUGCAUUCUUCGCGACCCACCUUCAUUCACUUCUCCAGAGCUCUGGAAUCAAGAGCUUAGUUAUUGUUGGAGUCCAAACACCAAACUGUAUUAGACAAACUGUGUUUGAUGCAGUAGCACUGGAUUACCAAACUGUCACUGUCAUUGUUGAUGCAACAGCUGCAGCUACACCUGAAAUUCAUUCUGCCAACAUUAGAGACAUGAAAAAUAUAGGAGUGUUAACGCCAACGUUGCAGGAGUGGUGCAGCUUUGAUGCUUGAUUAAGUAAUUGUGAUUGUCAGAGCAGAUUCAUGGGGUCAGUAUCUGGAAUACGAUACCUUGUUUAAUAUACUUUAGCGUGUUUGCAGUUACAGUAUGAAAGAGCAGCGCCACAACUCUAAAAGUCAGAAUAAAGUAAAUGAAAAGAAGAGCAGCAGUAGAGCUAUGGAAGAGCAAGAGGAGGGGGAUAUAAUUUAUGUCUCAUCUCACUGAACUACAUAUUAUGUCUGUGUUAUCCGCCCACCUUUCUUUUAUUAUCUGCUAUUUCUGAGGUAAUGGUGAAGGGCAAUGAGAUCUGAAUAUAAGAACCAAUGCCUAAGGUUAAAUAUGAUGGUCCUGACAAGAAGGAAGUUCUGACUCGCCCUUUCAUGAGAAACUAUUGAUAGAUACUGAUUGAUUUGUAUGUGUGCAGAAACAUAACAAUGCAGAAAUGAAACUCCUUAGGUAAGAGAAAGAGUGUCGACUUCAUGCUUUUGUUCAUGGCUUUAGAGAAGACAUGCAACCAAGUUGCCUCCUUAUAAAUAGCUUAUUAAUGUAAAUUAUGGAAUGAUUACAUUAUGUUUCAUAUAUUACAACCGUCAUAGAUGGAUAACCUUCUUUGUCGUAA